rnacentral:pre_miRNA from 1 species
CUUAUACUCCCUCCGUCCGAAAAUACUUGUCAUUGAAAUUGAUGUAUCUAGAUGUAUUUUAGUUCUAGACACAUCCAUUUUGAUGACAAGUAAUUUCGGAUGGAGGGAGUACUUG